CUGAAGUCAGGAUUCUUUCUUUCCUGCUGUGAGAGGGACGUCCCUCCUCCGUAGCUUUUGUCUCUCUAUUGCCUGCGCCGUGUCCUGGACUGCUCACGGGAGUUCUGCAGGAGACGCCGGAAUAUCUGGAAGCUGAAAAAUGGAAAUAAAUGGAAAGACCAGAAUAUUGAAGAUCACUACAGAAAUCUAAGGUGACUCCCACGACCAGUGCGGGUCACAGCACAGGCGACAGAAGCUAUGGCAGAGGCACCUGAACCCUCUCGGAGGGGAAAGCCAGGCUCCCAACCUCAGCUCGCCGCCUGGAGCCGGGAACCGAGGAGAGCAGGGCCUUCGCCCUCCCCGAUGGACACUCGGCAGGCCCCGCCCAGCGCCCCUGAUUGGACGAAGCGCCGGGCCCCGCCCCCUCAGCCUUUUGAGUCAGGGUCUACCCUGUGGCCCAGGCUGCCCUCCAGUGAUGCCAUCAUGACUCAGUGCAACCUCAAACUCCCAGGUUCAAGCGAUCUUCCAUCCUGACCUCCAAAAGGGCUGGAUUAUACACAUAAGCCAUGUCACACUUUAUAUGUUUCUAGGGAAGCUUUUCUAAGAAUAAAUACAUUGGAACUA
rnacentral:antisense_RNA from 1 species